UUGCCACCUUCCAUUUUGCGGAUGCCUUUCUUUAAUAUUUCUUUCUCUUGUCAUUAGCAUUUUCUGUUUUUUUUUUUUUUCCAUUGUGUUAAGAGACCUUUUUCUUAUCAUUCGGCACGCGAACUGAUUUUUUCCUCUUAUUCAUCUUUUUGUCACAAAUAUGAAUUCUAAAUUUUGUGAUAAGUUCUCUGUGAAGUAUUAACCAAUGCUUCUCUGGGGCCCUUCUAAGAAGGAAGUUGGUAGCGGUUGGGAUCCAAAAUAAGAAAAUAGUGAAAUACGCCCCAUUGUAAAUAGACGCACAGCUGAUGUCUUUCUAGGGUGGAUCAACAAACAAUUGGGAAGUGAUUAGUGGCCAAGAUGGUGAGAAGCCUGACGUUGUUGUUGAAUUAAACGCAACCAACUUCGAUUCAUUACUCAAAAAGACUCUUGUCCCUUAUGCCAUUGUUGAAUUCUUUGCAUACUGGAUUGAAGCCAUGUGAUUCACUUAAAGAUCUUUUAUUAGUCUCAUAGAUUCCCUGCUUGCAGAAAUUAUAAGCCACAAUAUGAGAAGGUUGUGAGACUCUUGAAUGGAGCAGAUGCCAGUCAUCCAGGAAUCAUAUUAAUGACGAGGGUAGACUGUGGAUUAACGGUAUUACUCUAUGCUUCAAAAAAUUACUUUAUCCUGUAUUUGUUUACUCAAUCUCCUCGUUUUAGUUUGCUUUUGUCUAUGGUCAGUACUCAAUAAGCGUAUUAUAUUUUCCUUUUUUUCUGGUGGUUACUGGGAUUUAUGAAAAAUUUUCAUCUUUCUGUGAUGUUAUUUUUCUGAACUUUAAAACUUGUUUCAAUAAAAUAUAAUCCAUGAUUAUGCUCUCUCUCUUUCCCUCUUAUUCAUUAUUUUGAGUGUCUGAAUAUUUACUAUUUUAAGACUGGAACUUCUCUCCAUCUUCUUCCUUUCUUUCAAAGCCUUUUGUCCAGUCAAUGGACAAUCAUAUUUACUUCAGGUCAGGGGGGAUAUCCUAUGAUAUCUCAGAAACAAAGUCUUCGUCUGAGAGGUGGUUCGAAUAGGUAGAAAGUGCUAGAUUAUAUAUGAGGAGGAUGAAUCUAAGUAGGGGACUCUGAGCUGGAUAUGCAGAAGAAUGUAUACAACAUCAGAGUUUAAAGGAAGGUCCUUUAAGACCUAGAAAGUCAGAAAUGUUUCCACCUCUUUUUUUGCUCUCUUAAGUUCAAUAAGUUUGGCAGGUUUCUUUCUAUUAUCUCGGUUAAUGGUCAUUCCAGGGCGAUGAUCAUUAUCCCUGAAAACAAGCCUAAUGAGGGUUGGUUGAGUCUUGCCAACCGCAUUGAAUGCUUCAUUAAUAGAGAGCCUUCAAUGCAUAGGAAUGUUCCCGAAUCCCCAACCAUAGUAACUCUGGCCCAACAGUCUUUAAGGAGAGAGGACACCUACAAAGAAGUUUUAGGAAGAAAUAGGUGGACUUUGCAGGAUCAAACUACUCCAUCUAAUCAGAGAACAACUAUUCCCGAUAGCUAGAAUGAAAGAAACCCCACAAGGAGAUGCCUGGUAGGAAGCUUCCCGGAGUGAGACGAGAUCCCAACUAGAAAUAAUGUGAGAAAAUGGGCCCAACAGACUUGGAAAAUAGCAAAUUUUCAGGUUUAUGAUAUGAAUGGGAUUCAAUUCCUAUUCGAGUUCCACUUAAGAGAAGUUGCAGAACACAUCAUUCUUGGGAAAUGGAAGAAACAAGGAAAGUCUCUAUAGUUAGAUUGGUGGUCGCCACUGGCUGGUACUUAUCCAGCAGAACACAAAUUUGCUUGGUCAUGGAUUCGUUUUCUUGGCCUUCCUCUUCAUCUUUGGUCGGCCAACACUAUGAAAGAAUUAGGAGAUAAAUACGGGAGGUGGAUUAAAACUGAAGAAGAGACUUCUCUGAAGAAUCAUCUCCGAUGGGCUCACCUCAAACUUAAAGGCACCUUCGAUGACAUACCAAAGGAAAUUGAAAUUUCAGAUGGAGAUCUCAUUUUUUUUCCUUGCCUAUCUGGAUAGAAGCUCUGGCAAGAUUUCGACGCUCUGUGGUGGUUGUGCUCGAAAAAAAAUCCAGUUCUUUGUAUAAGAGUGGUGCAGUCAGCUUUACUGAACUUCAAAAGGUGAUGGAGACAAAUUAUGAAUUUAGUUUGAAGAGACAGGGCAAAUAUCCACUGGUUAAUGACCUGCCAGCUGUUGAAGAAGUGGGUCCCAACCAUAUGUUUUUACCCACUAACCCCAACAUGUGCUGCUCACAUAUUAUUCCUCAAAAGUCAUAUUCUGAGUUUUGUAAUAAGAAUGGGUCACUCACUAACAGGAUUUCUUUUGGGCCUCUCAAAUCCCAACCCCCACUUUUGAAAUAUUCAAAACCUACCAAGGCUGAGCCCGUUACAAAAUUUCUUAACUUUAAUUUAAUAACUAACCAGUUAUCCCUCUUCUUUUUCAACAGUUGUGUAGUCGAUGCCCUCAUCAGUGAACUUGACCAGAAAGAAAAACCUAAAUCUUGCAUGUAACUCCACAAUCUUCUACCCAAUGCUUAUGUGACCUUAUCCCAGAAAGAAAAUUCAGUUUUAGCCCCAAGAAGACCAGUUGAAUUUUUGAAUAGAACAACAAAAAUGCUAGGAAACCAAUUAAUUUCUCUGGAGAAUCCAACCCCAUCUAAUUUAAUUCCAGCGAGUGCAGUAAAGAUCUAAAGACUAAAACCUCCUCUUAGGUAAAACAAAACAUCAUCAGACUUAGCAAGGAAUUUGGGGCCCUGUUUGACGGGUUAGAGAAAAAUGCUAAGGUUUUGUUUGGUAAACUAGACCAUAGAAGAGACCAUCCAAAAGAACCAACUAAUAGUAAUCACUUGGUGCAGAAGGAAGUAUGAAAUUUAAUAUUUAAGGUAAAAUACAAAGAUGGGGAGCCAAGAGGUAAAUUGAGGAAAGGGAGGAGACUACCUAUAAGUGAUCAAUGAAAGUCAAAAUUCUAUCUUGGAAUGUCAGGGAGCUUAAUGGGGUAGAUAAAAGAAAUUUGGUAAAACAACUAGUCCAUCAAUGAGGUGCCAAUUCAGGUUCUUAUAGAAACUAAACUUGAAGGGGAAGUCAAUAGUCUAACAGGGGAUCUUUGGUCCAACAGAUGGGUAGGGAUACUCACCUGGAGGCCAGGGGAAGUAGUGGGGGAAUCCUUAUCUUAUGGAUAAGAGAGAACGGUUAGGGGAGUUGAUUAAUACUGGAAGCCAAUCGAUUUCAUGUAAAUUCACUGGCAUAAAUCAGGGGUUGAUAUGGUAACUUACUAUAGUUUACACCAACUGCAAUUGGGUUAGUAAAAGAGAUCUUUGGAAUGAGUUGGACAUCAUCAUAACUAUCUAUUAAGGGAUUUGGGUGGUAUAUGAUGACUUUAAUGUAAUAAGAUUUGUGCCUAAAAGGAAAAAUUGCAAUAGGUUCACUGGGGCAAUGGCUGAAUUCUCUAACUGUAUCAAUGACUUAGAAUUGAUAGACCCUCCUUUAUUUGGAGGAUCUUACACAUAGAGAAGGGUGAAAAUCAGAAUAGUGCAUCUAGAUUUGACAGGUUCCUUUACUCUACUAAAUUGGAAGACUCAUUCACUCAGGUUAAACAAACACUAGUCCUAAGACUAGGUUCUGAUCACAACCCAAUUCUAUUAACCUGUGGUGACUGGGCAUUUAAAAAAUCUUACUUUAAAUUCAAAAAUUAGUGGCUUGAAGUUGAGGGGUUCAGGGAUAAGGUAAAGGAUUGGUGGAACUCUUUCCCAAGUACAAAAAUACCAACUUACAUUUUGGCAAAUAAGCUCAAGAUCCUCGAAAGGAGAUAACACAAUGGAGUAGAAAUCAGAGAGUGAACUGGAAA